UUUCACAUAUAAAUAUGCUUGACUGUGAAGGUCUUCCACAUAUAAAUAUGCUUGACUGUGAAGGUCUUCCACAUAUAAAUAUGCUUGACUGUAAAGGUCUUUCACAUAUAAAUAUGUUAGGCUGUGAAUUAGGUCUUUCACAUAUAAAUAUGCUUGACAGUGAAGGUCUUUCACAUAGAAAUAUGUUAGGCUGUGAAGGUCUCUGAUUCACAUUUCAAUUUUUACAAAAUUCAUGAAUGAGCUCCAAUCACAAAAUGAUAAUUAUCAUACUCUGAUCUUUAUGCACAUUUUGUUAAACUGAAAGUAUUUAAAUCAAAAUAAAUAAAUAAAUGUCCAAUUG